AACCUACGGGGGGCAGCAGUGGGGAAUAUUGGGCAAUGGGCGCAAGCCUGACCCAGCAAUGCCGCGUGAAGGAAGAAGGCCCUCGGGUCGCAGACCUCUUUGGACGGGGAGCAAGGCCGCCGACGUGUCGGCGGAAGGAGAGUACCCGUAGAACAAGCAUCGGCUAACUCCGUGCCAGCAGCCGCGGUAAUACGGAGGAUGCGAGCGUUAUCCGGAUUUAUUGGGUUUAAAGGGUGCGCAGGCGGCACGGCAAGCCGGCGGUCAAAUCGCGGGGCUCAACCCCGCCCAGCCGUCGG
rnacentral:rRNA from 1 species